rnacentral:lncRNA from 1 species
UCACAUUCAAAUAAUCUAAUAGACUAUAUGAGCAAAACAAGCUAGCGUCUCAUGAAAACAAAAGUUUAUGUCUUGUAUAAACAUUAAGGCUAAAAGAAGUUUUUAUUCAAUACAGUGUUAUCUUAAGCAAAGGCUUUUUAUUAAAAAAAAAGAAAAAAAAAGAAAACAUCAUCCAAUGAAUGACCGCUAAAUGCUAUAGUCCUUGAAAAAACAUUUUAUGUUGAUACCAUAUGAUGAUUAUACAUGUUGUAUGUCUUACCAAACAAUGCAUUUAUGAAUGACAUUACAAAAGAUAAAAUGUCUUGUACAAUAAAAUAUUUCAAUUCUUG